UGGGAAUAUUGAUGCUUUGAGCUGGAUAAUUCUUUAUUGUGGGGACCGUCCUGUGCUUUGUAGGAUUUUAGCAUCCCUGGCCACCACCCACUAGAUGCUGAUAGCACAGGCAUGAAAUCAAAAAUAUCUCCAAACCUUGCCGAAAGUACGCUGGGAGAUACAUUCCCUCCCGAUUGAGAAUCACUGGGCCGGGGGAAGCCUGACAGCCCUUGGGUCCCAGAGGGUGCAGGAGCCAUCCUCCCCAAUUCCGCUCAGAAAAUAUUCAAGCUGCAGAGCCUUCAGCAGGCGGGGCUUAUGCAGAUGAGCGGCAGGUUUGGCUGAGAGGAGGGCGGCUCUAUGCAGAUGAG
rnacentral:lncRNA from 10 species